GCUGUCAGAGAGCAGUUGGUGCAACUGAUGUUUGAAACGUUUAACAUUUCGGGCUUCUAUGCAUCAGAGCAAGCAGUAUUGUCACUUUAUGCUGUAGGGCGUAUCUCGGGAUGCACUGUUGAUAUUGGCCAUGGAAAGAUAGAUAUUGCACCAGUAAUUGAAGGUGCUGUUCAGCACAUUGCCUCAAGAA